UCAUCUCAGGUGAAAUGUGCUGAGAAGAAUCACAUUUUGAAAGUCCUACAAAAAGACAACUUCAUCCGGAGGGUGCAACACACAAUAAGAAAUGAGGAUAUUAAGAGUGGCAGGGCCUUUAACCUUUGGUGAAGCUAGGCUAGGCGAAUCCUGCCACCACCCUGAGAACAGCUACCCAGCCCUGUUUCUUCUUGUUUAGUUUUGGGCUCCUUGAGCUGUCUCUCAACCAUGGCUGUCAUCUUCUUAGAAACAUCAUCACCUGUGUCACAUGGGGGAGGGGGGAAAUAUGAUUUUUUGCUGACAUAGCUAUCGUGGUGAAAGCCCUUACGCAAAUACACUUACAAUGGUACUGUUUUUUUCAGGCACUACAUCUCCAGCAGCCUAUUCGCAAGCACCUCUACACUGGCACAUCCUUGUUCCUGCCAAAGAAAUGCUGCAACAUCUUUUUCAGUGGAAGGCACUGUAGAAAAUUGGUAUUUUGAUAUUCAUAUCUGAUUACUCCUGCUGCAAUACACCAGUCAGGGAUUGUUUUGGUUUGGGGUUUGGUUUUUUUUUUUUCUUCCCCCUUCCUUUCUUUUUUUCCCCUUGGAAGGAGAUGAAAAGACCAGGAACUUGAGUAAAGUGCAACUUCAAGAAUGAGGAAUCUCCCCUCCAGCGUAUCUGCUUGGAGCUUAAAGGUGUGUUAUGACAAGGAGCAGCCUGGUAACUGCUGGGCUCAAGAGGUCAGUCAAGGGUUUAAAUCUUAUAUUUGCACCUCAUGUCCAAGGGUUUGGGCUAGAAAGCAGAGAUAACUGUCCAGGCUGUAGUGCACUGGGACUGACAGAGGGAGUGUACGUAUAUUCCAGAAUUCCUGCUUGUCCAGAGACUCUACAACCAAGCACCUAGAAUAACGUCAGUCAAGGCUUUUUCUUUUUUUCUUUUAAAGUUGUAAAAUAUUGAAAUGGUGGAAAAACAUAUCAAAAGCAUAACACAAAGCAUACGCCGUCAAAAGUCCCACAGUCACUCUGUGAAAUUUUCCAGCGACAGUAGUCUGAAAUUCAGAUGUAGCUACGGUGGAAAGUAAAACUGCGUAUGCCAGGCAGGUGAAAUUGCAUAUACCCGUGCAAGGUGGUCGCAUGACUUUUCGUGCUGUGAAGUCCUGUCAUGGUCUUCCAGCAGGUCUUCUCAGGGGAUCUGUUAUAUCAACCAGUGUAAAAAAAAACACCAAAAUCACGAUCUGCUUAAUAUCCAGAUUAAAAGGAACAGAGAAAACGCUACGCGUGGAGUCCCCGUGGGAAGCGGAGGAGGAUCACAAAGAAGGAAGCUGUCCGGGCGGCCGUGCCCCACGGUCGCGCCGCCGUCACGCCGCAAGGCUUCCGUUCAUAUAAAUCUGCUGCACUGAAGGCAAUCGAAUAGCAGAUGACAGUGGUGUGGCCAGCUGGGAAGGAAUCCCGAAGGAGGAGCACAGCCGGGGACAGCUUCUGAACAGCAGUGCAAACAAAGCUUUUGCUAUGACGGUCUGACAGCAAGACUUCAGUUUUGUCCCCUGUUGAAAACAAUUCUGCCUGCUUGCUUCACGGGGACCAUCUAACUGACUUCAGUGCCAGUAUACGGAGCCCCUGCGUGCAACAGCAGCAAGAGCUAAUUCUCAUGUACAGCACUGUGCUGUGGUAAAUGCUGACUUAAAUGCAACUAAUGAUAUAA